rnacentral:rRNA from 1 species
GCUCCUACCGAUUGAGUGUGUUGGUGAAGAGUUCGGAUUGGUACCAGAUGGUGGUUCGCCACCGUCUGUAGCUGAGAAGUUCUUUAAACCGCCCCACUUAGAGGAAGGAGAAGUCGUAACAAGGUUUCCGUAGGUGAACCUGCGGAAGGAUCAUUG